rnacentral:rRNA from 1 species
UACGUAGGGUGCAAGCGUUGUCCGGAAUUAUUGGGGCGUAAAGAGCUUGUAGGCGGUUUGUCGCGUCUGCUGUGAAAUUUCGGGGCUCAACCCCGAACUUGCAGUGGGUACGGGGCAGACUAGAGUGUGGUAGGGGGAGACUGGAAUUCCUGGUGUAGCGGUGAAAUGCGCAGAUAUCAGGAGGAACACCGAUGGCGAAGGCAGGUCUCUGGGCCAUAACUGACGCUGAGAAGCGAAAGCAUGGGGAGCGAACAGG